CUCCAGCGGCGUCGGGCGCGCGCGGAUCUCGCGGGAGCGGCGGGCGGUAUUUAAGGGCCGGGGAGGCGCCGCCCGCCCUCUUUCUCCGCCGCCCGGCGGUGAGGCGUGCCGGCCGUGGGCUGAACCCGCCCGGAGGUCCCCGCAGCGGCUCCCGAUGCCCACGGGGCCCUGCCCCGCUGGCCGCUCCCGGCUGCCAUGGGGCGUGCUGGGCCUCAAGCCCGCAGGAGUCACUUAGUUUCAUGAUCGAAUCAGUCUAGAAAUGGAUGAUGACCCCCUAAAUUGGAAGCGGUUCUCAGGACUUCUUAGGGAUGAAUAAUACCUUCAGUUAAGAAGAGUUCUCAGAUGUGUUGGGACUCCUUGGCUGCCUAGAAUAUGCUUCAUGAGAUUGUGAUAAACAACUUGAAGUCAAAAGAGUUCCUUGUGAACUGAUUAGUCUUCAGGGAGAAAAAUCAGCAAGGGACAUGCAAGGCAUUGGAAAUGAUCUGCUGAGUGGAUGAUCACCAAUUUUGCAGAAGAUCACCCCAGUUGUCCUAUGAAAUGUUUUGUCUUGAACUGAAACAGUGACUCAGACUAUACACCUUCAAUGAUCACAUUUAAACAAUCUAGCCAUUGGUUGCAACCGAAGUUUCUUAAAAGCUGUGACGAUUUAUUUCUGUGAGGAUUAAUUGAAAUAAAGAUAAUACCAGAAGCUUGUGUCGUAAA